GUUUAUUUUGAAUGGACUAUUUACUUUUGGUGUAACAAGGCAUAAAUAAAAUUUUGAAAGCACAUGAUGAAUGGUUGUUCCACAGAACAUUAGGAUUCGUGAGGGGCUUUCUGCGGGUUAGACGUGCCAUGUAUUUUAAUAUUCAUUUGUCAAUGAACAGUGCAUGGGGGCUACACUGUCAAUACUGGGGCUGUUUUUAAUAGUAUAACCUCAUCACACUAUUCAAUACAUUAUUUGCUUUUUCAAGUAAGUAACUACAACGAAGACGUUUUAAAAUUGCCCGUCAAGAGAUCUAGUCUUGACUUUUAGCAUGUACUAGGCCACUGUUUACUAGAUAGAUCUUAAUAAAAACUGUAUUUCAGGUUUAACCUGAAAAAAAAAUCCACAACCAAAUUAAUCUUGAUUGGGUUAGUUCCAAAUGCUAAAAUAAUUCCAUCUAUAAUAGCUCUAGGGGGAGGGGAUUUUUGCCUUAAAUUAGCUCACUGUCCAACUCAGGCUUUGAGUUGUAGAUCCCCAGACCGUAAGCUCCUCAGAGGCAAGAGCCACAUCUGUCAUGUAAGCGUCUCAGAUACUUGGCGGUACCCUGUACCUGGGGAAUACUCAGUAUGUUUUGUUUGAUGUUGCUGACUAGACCUAAAAAGUAAUUCCUUUAAACCUAUUAUUAUUAAAACGUAGCAAAGACUGUACAUUCUCCAUCCUCAUUUCUUACAGAUCAUAAAAGACAAAUAGCAAGGUGGUAAUUUUUUGUGCUACAGCACUGAUUGUUUACACAAGCCUGCCGUCAGGGUUAAAGCACUUCAGUGGAACAUCAUGUGAUAAGCUCAGCUUUAAUUCAGACCUGAAUGACAAGACUGUCUUAAAGCAGUUAGCACAGGAGCACUCGCCAUUUCACAAGUUGAGUUUGCUUCGUGCUGAGCAAUAGCCUGGUCUCGAGCGGCGCCUGGUCUCGAGCGGUCCAGCAGAUGCUUUCAGGCUGAGGUGCAGCUCCUUCCUUGGAGCUUUAGCCUUCAACCCAGAAACAGCUGGAUGGCACUCCUGGAACAAGAACUUUUGAAAUGGAAGAGUCUGAUUCAACUGAGGUAAUCAAGAUAGCUGAGGCAGGAGGAUAGCAAGUUUGAUCAAGCCUGGACUAUAUAGGUGAGACCCUAUCUUUUAAAAAAAAAAAAAAGGCAAGAAUUAUAAAUUAUAUUUUCACUAUUUUGUGUCCCGAGGGGGUCGACAGAUACUUUCAAGAAGUUGUGUUUGCAAUUUAAUAUUAUUUUUAUAUGGUUAAAAAUGGCAUGUGUGGCUAAAGAGAUGGUUCAGGAGUUAAAAGCACUUUCUGUUUUUGCAGAGAACCAGGGUUCAGUUCCCAGCACCCACAUGAUGGCUCACAACUGCCUGUAACUCCAGUCAUAGUAACUCUAGUGCCCUCUUCCGGCCCCAUGGGUACCAGACAUAACACAUGUUGCACAUACAUACAUGCAAGCAUGCAAGCAAAUUGCAUAUGCAUAGAAUAGAAAAUAAAGUUUUAAAUUAUA